rnacentral:rRNA from 1 species
UUCCGGUUGAUCCUGCCGGACCCUACUGCUAUCGGGGCGAGACUAAGACAUGCUAGUUGUGCGCAUCUAAGCUAUGUUGGAAACGCGGCGUACGGCUCCGUAACACGUAGUUAAUCUACCCUUAGGACGGGAACAACCCCGGGAAACUGGGGCUAAUAUCUGAUAGGUGAAGAAGUCUGGAAUGAUUCCUCCCUUAAAGAGUUUUGGGAACAUGCUCCUUUACGUGCCCUAAGGAUGGACUGCCCAUCCGAUCGGGUUGGUGGUGGGGGGUAACGGCUAACAAAGCUAUUACCCGUUAGGGGCCCUUGGGGAGGGGAACCCCGGAAAUGGGACCUGAAUCAAGGUGCCCGAGCCCUUACGGGUGGAACCGUUCCAAAAAUUCCCCAUUGCCCCAAAGCUUGGAGGGGCAUACCCAAAGUGCCCUUCAAUAAAGAUGGCUUUUCCUUGGGUGAAAUGACCCGGGGAAAAAAGGAGAGGGUAGACAUGGUGUCCACCGCCCCGGUAAUUACCAGCCCCUCCAAUGGUAGGAUCAAUAUAUGGGCUUUAAACGUUCUGAACCGGCUAUACAAGCCUUCGUUAAAUCCGAGGACUAAUCUUGGCUGCGGAGAU